UAGAGUUUGAUCCUGGCUCAGAUUGAACGCUGGCGGCAGGCUUAACACAUGCAAGUCGAGCGGUAACAGGGGGUGCUUGCACCCCGCUGACGAGCGGCGGACGGGUGAGUAAUGCAUAGGAAACUGCCCAGUAGUGGGGGAUAGCCCGGGGAAACCCGGAUUAAUACCGCGUACGCCCUUCGGGGGAAAGCAGGGGAUCUUCGGACCUUGCGCUAUUGGAUGUGCCUAUGUCGGAUUAGCUAGUUGGUGGGGUAAAGGCCUACCAAGGCGACGAUCCGUAGCUGGUCUGAGAGGAUGAUCAGCCACAUCGGGACUGAGACACGGCCCGAACUCCUACGGGAGGCAGCAGUGGGGAAUAUUGGACAAUGGGGGCAACCCUGAUCCAGCCAUGCCGCGUGUGUGAAGAAGGCUUUCGGGUUGUAAAGCACUUUCAGUGAGGAGGAAAAGUUGGUCGCUAAUACCGGCCAGCCUUGACGUUACUCACAGAAGAAGCACCGGCUAACUACGUGCCAGCAGCCGCGGUAAUACGUAGGGUGCGAGCGUUAAUCGGAAUUACUGGGCGUAAAGCGUGCGCAGGCGGUUUUAUAAGUCAGAUGUGAAAUCCCCGAGCUCAACUUGGGAACUGCGUUUGAAACUGUAAGACUAGAGUGUGUCAGAGGGGGGUAGAAUUCCACGUGUAGCAGUGAAAUGCGUAGAUAUGUGGAGGAAUACCAAUGGCGAAGGCAGCCCCCUGGGAUAACACUGACGCUCAUGCACGAAAGCGUGGGGAGCAAACAGGAUUAGAUACCCUGGUAGUCCACGCCCUAAACGAUGUCUACUAGUUGUUGGUGGAGUAAAAUCCAUGAGUAACGCAGCUAACGCGUGAAGUAGACCGCCUGCAGAGUACGGUCGCAAGAUUAAAACUCAAAGGAAUUGACGGAUGCCCGCACAAGCGGUGGAUUAUGUGGAUUAAUUCGAUGCAACGCGAAAAACCUUACCUGGCCUUGACAUGUACCGAAUUUAGCAGAGAUGCUUUAGUGCUCGUAAGAGAACGGUAACACAGGUGCUGCAUGGCUGUCGUCAGCUCGUGUCGUGAGAUGUUGGGUUAAGUCCCGCAACGAGCGCAACCCUUGCCAUUAAUUGCCAUCAUUUAGUUGGGCACUUUAAUGGGACUGCCGGUGACAAACCGGAGGAAGGUGGGGAUGACGUCAAGUCCUCAUGGCCCUUAUGGCCAGGGCUUCACACGUAAUACAAUGGACGGUACAGAGGGACGCCAACCCGCGAGGGGGAGCCAAUCCCAGAAAGCCGUUCGUAGUCCGGAUUGUUGUCUGCAACACGACAACAUGAAGUCGGAAUCGCUAGUAAUCGCGGAUCAGAAUGUCGCGGUGAAUACGUUCCCGGGCCUUGUACACACCGCCCGUCACACCAUGGGAGUGGGUUUUACCAGAAGUAGUUAGUCUGACCGCAAGGGGGACGAUUACCACGGUAGGAUUCAUGACUGGGGUGAAGUCGUAACAAGGUAACCA
rnacentral:rRNA from 1 species